UGGGGAAUAUUGGGCAAUGGGCGCAAGCCUGACCCAGCAACGCCGCGUGAAGGAAGAAGGCUUUCGGGUUGUAAACUUCUUUUCUCAGUGACGAAGCAAGUGACGGUACCUGAGGAAUAAGCCACGGCUAACUACGUGCC
rnacentral:rRNA from 1 species